rnacentral:lncRNA from 1 species
AAGCUUUUAUUAGGUAGUUGACACUUGACAGUGAAAACAAAGGAGGGGUAAGAGACAUAAUAUUUCAGUCUUCAAAAUUUAAUUUAUUGUUAAAUAUAAAAAUAUUUAAACACCGUCUUCUAACAGCUUAAAUUUUUAGAGUACAACGGUUAUUUCACAUGAUAUCAGAGCAGGAGGUCCUGAGUUCAAGUCACAUCAGGCUCCUAGCAUAUUAAUUUCCUUACAUUUAAUUCAAGCCCACAUCAUGGACCAAUAAAAAAAUCUCGAGUCCAGAUAUGAAGGAGAGUGUUAAUAUAAAAAUAUUUAAACACCACUUAAGCUUUUAGAGUACAACGGUUGUUUCACAUUUAUAGUAAUUUUUUAUUCGAAUUAUGAGGUGUGUGAUACUUAAUUUAAUUAUUUAAUUUUAAUUUGUUGUAAUUUUCGGCUCGAACUAUAAGGUAUGCGACAUUUAGUUCUCGAAUUUUCUGAAUUGUUGUAAUAAAGUUUUACCGUCUUUUUUUUUGAAUAAAUAUUGAUUAAUUAUUCAGAGUCCAACUAUGGUAUUUUUAAAAGCACAAAAUACUUUGUAUUUGUAAGUUUUCUGCCGUUAGAUAUUCCUUUUGACCAUUCUUAUUCGUCAGAUCAUAUUAUUUAACCAACCAUCCAUUCAACCCUAAAAGAUCACUAUCAUUCUAAUAACACAUUUUUUAAUCCAAGGGCCGAAAAUCUAAAAGUACCAAUGACUUAGUACUUUUAAAAGUAUAAGAGCUUAAUUCUAAUUAUCCAUAUCGAAUUAUAUAGUAUUUUAAUUAUUAUUGCAUCAUUAAGUAGGAUAUUGCUACAAUUUAGAAAGCUUGGAGAUUAAAAUGUCAUAUAUUUUAUUGUUUAAGU